rnacentral:rRNA from 1 species
CGGAGCUAAUACCGGAUAGUUCCUUGAACCGCAUGGUUCAAGGAUGAAAGACGGUUUCGGCUGUCACUUACAGAUGGACCCGCGGCGCAUUAGCUAGUUGGUGGGGUAAUGGCUCACCAAGGCGACGAUGCGUAGCCGACCUGAGAGGGUGAUCGGCCACACUGGGACUGAGACACGGCCCAGACUCCUACGGGAGGCAGCAGUAGGGAAUCUUCCGCAAUGGACGAAAGUCUGACGGAGCAACGCCGCGUGAGUGAUGAAGGUUUUCGGAUCGUAAAGCUCUGUUGUUAGGGAAGAACAAGUGCGAGAGUAACUGCUCGCACCUUGACGGUACCUAACCAGAAAGCCACGGCUAACUACGUGCCAGCAGCCGCGGUAAUACGUAGGUGGCAAGCGUUGUCCGGAAUUAUUGGGCGUAAAGGGCUCGCAGGCGGUUUCUUAAGUCUGAUGUGAAAGCCCCCGGCUCAACCGGGGAGGGUCAUUGGAAACUGGGAAACUUGAGUGCAGAAGAGGAGAGUGGAAUUCCACGUGUAGCGGUGAAAUGC